AGAGUUUGAUCCUGGCUCAGGACGAACGCUGGCGGCGUGCCUAACACAUGCAAGUCGAACGAGGUCCAACCAGUGGCAACACUGGGGACGACCUAGUGGCGAACGGGUGAGUAACACGUGAGGAACCUGCCCCGAAGACCGGGAUAACCCUCCGAAAGGAGAGCUAAUACCGGAUACCCCCGCCGAACCGCAUGGCUCGGUGAGGAAAUGGAUUCCGCUUCGGAGGGCCUCGCGGCCUAUCAGCUUGUUGGCGGGGUAACGGCCCACCAAGGCAUCGACGGGUAGCUGGUCUGAGAGGACGAUCAGCCACACUGGGACUGAGACACGGCCCAGACUCCUACGGGAGGCAGCAGUGGGGAAUCUUGCGCAAUGGGCGAAAGCCUGACGCAGCAACGCCGCGUGGGGGAUGAAGGCUUUCGGGUUGUAAACCCCUUUCAGCAGGGACGAAUCAAGACGGUACCUGCAGAAGAAACCCCGGCUAACUACGUGCCAGCAGCCGCGGUAACACGUAGGGGGCAAGCGUUGUCCGGAUUUAUUGGGCGUAAAGAGCUCGUAGGCGGCUCUGUAAGUCGGGUGUCAAAUCCUCAGGCUCAACCUGGGGCUCCACCCGAUACUGCAGUGGCUAGAGUCCGGUAGGGGAGCGUGGAAUUCCUGGUGUAGCGGUGAAAUGCGCAGAUAUCAGGAGGAACACCAGCGGCGAAGGCGGCGCUCUGGGCCGGAACUGACGCUGAGGAGCGAAAGCGUGGGUAGCAAACAGGAUUAGAUACCCUGGUAGUCCACGCCGUAAACGUUGGGCACUAGGUGUGGGGUCUAUUCAACGGAUUCCGUGCCGUAGCUAACGCAUUAAGUGCCCCGCCUGGGGAGUACGGCCGCAAGGCUAAAACUCAAAGGAAUUGACGG
rnacentral:rRNA from 1 species